ACGGUAAAGACGACAUAACGAUUAGCUUAGUUUGUUACAACAAAGAGAUUAAAAACAUAAAAUAGGCCGGAAAAUUCAAAAGUUCAAAAACUACACAAGGCCCAAGCCCAACUUCAACAACAGAGAAAGAAACAUACCCGACCUGACUUCACCAAAAAACUCGACGAAUGAAGCAAUCGCUUAACGAUCAGCGUAUACAGAGUUCUGAUCAACAAUGGCCGCCACAACGUCCUUGGAUUCCUUCAGAAGCUUGAGACUAUUCUUCAGCUUCUCCCUCUUGCUCGCCACCGACGGUGAUUCCUCCAGCAUCCUAUCUAUUCCUCCGCCAGCUCUUGGAUCCACCAUCUCCGCCACAAUCUCCUUCUGAAACUGACUGUUGACCAGAUUCUUCACAGAGAAUUGAAGGUAGAGAGCAAGGUUAUCGACAACCCUUCGCAAUACGAUCGUCCAGUAAGAUGUGAUCCUCAUCUUCAUAUCAAACGCUUGUUGCAGCAAAUGAGCGUGAUACUUUCGCAGAUGCGAGAUCUUCACAUCCCCGAAUCCAGGUAAAGCAAAAUUCUCAGGUUUAUUCUCAUCGUGCAACACAGAAUUGAUGAAGUUUUGCUGUGAGGUUGUCUUCUGAGUCCAAGAAGUCAUGUAAUCUGGGUUACAUGUGUAAUCGGUAAGCUUCUCCAUCUCAACGAUCUCAAUUACUCAGUUCACGGAACGUUCCUUAGUCCUGCUCAUUAGAUUACGACCAGCCCUUUUGAUGGAGGAUUGAAUCUGGGGAAAGUUGUCAGAAUAUGUCGUAAUGACUGAUGACAGAACGACUUCAAUGUAGUCCCAUAUCUCCUUGAUGAACUCAACUGGCUUGUCUUGUAUCCCAUCCACAUGUUGUGAAAGGAUUGCUAAGAAAGAAGAUCUUGGUAUAAAAUUAGGCAAUCCGAUACAUUUGCGCUCUUCUAAGACUUUGAUUUCAUCCAUCAAGAACUCUUCUGUCACGGCUUGAGGCUGUGCCUGCAGAUUGUCUGAGAAUCGGUUUAACAUUUCAGCCAAGCGAGCUGUGCAAUGCAUCUUUUGAUCGUUAGGGUAUUCAGAGAAAUCUCCAUGGACAAGGAUUCUUAGUAGAGACUCCUUGGCAGAACCAAUGAUAUCCAUUAGAGACAUUAAUGCUUCCCCAGUAGAAGCCAUGACUAUUGGGAGCUUGUUAAACUCCAGGACACUGAUUUCCAUCUUCACAUUUAUCUUCCUUUCGAUUUCCGGCAAACACCUAGAUAUCAUCAUUCCCUGGAUCUGCGUCAGCUUCUGAGCUAAGACGGGGAUACCCACAAUCUCAUCAUUGAUCAUUGAAAGCAUCGGGUGGGUCCUGAAAAGUAACUCUUCUUGCAUUCGAGCUUCUUCAUAGGUUUCCUCCCCUAUCCGGUUUCUAACACAGACAUAACCAAGUCCGAUACUCACAUCAUCUGCAGUUACUUUCUGGAGAAGCCCUUCAGGAGCCAUGUCAGCCUUUGUGACUACAGCCAGAGUCCGCUCACCGGUUUUGUCCACCUGUUUAGACAUUCUGAUGGAUUCACAAGUAGUGAAAUCAACUGUCGCUGACAGAACAUUGAGAACACGGGUUAUUCCAGGGAGAUCAACCAUAGUAAUAUCUGGAACACCAGCCUUCUUCACAUGGAGCGUAAGGGGUGUGUCUGAAACCCCUUUGCCAGAUCCUGCAACACAGUAUUCACAAGUACUAAUCAAAAUCAAGACUUCAACUGAGGCUUGGAAGCUUAAACCAAACAUAUUUAACAGUAUGGAAGGAAUAGAGGCAAAACAUACCAGCUAUCACGUCUGUAGCUGCACAAAUAGUUUGAGCAAUGUGUUCCUCAUCUGUAGGAACAAUUUUGUCACCGUACUCCAGCCAGAUCUCAGGUUCAGGGCUUCGACUUCUCUGGAGCCUCAUGACAAGAGGAACUCUAGUGCAGAUUCCUUGCCCACGUGGCAAACUGAUUCCUGCCAACGACUCGAGGACACUCGACUUCCCCGAGGACUGGUCUCCAACCACAACAAUGGUAGGAAGCUGAAUCCCUUCUUGCAUCACAUUCAAGUUCCUGAGCUUGUCCACAGUGUCAAGCAACGGCCUGAUGUGGUCAUUGUAAGAUGAUACAAUUGGUGCUUCUGUGGGAACAACAUCUUUGUGGGGGUGAGGAUUCGCCUGGACAAUUGCCAGAGAAGGAGUGGUACUAGUGACAUCAUGCUUGUUACUACGUCCCAUUUUGUUGCUUGAGGAGACAAUACAAGAGUAGAAUAGAAUGAGAUAGAGAAUAGAAGUAAGUGAGAUAAGCGUAGUUGAGAUUUAUCAAAGAGAUAUGCAAAUAUAUAUACUGAGAUAUUUGAAGGGCUUUGUGUUUAUGAGCACUAUACUACAGAAGCAGACGUUUGACAUGAAAUGACGUAAGUAAAAAGCAUAUUGGAACUGAACAAAGCUAAUUAAUUAAGUUCAUGAUUACACCUAUUACCUAUAGAUAUUAG
rnacentral:lncRNA from 1 species